UGCUGCGAGAGCGAGCCCGUGCGGACUGCCCCCGCCCUCCCCUCCCCCCGCGCCCCGCCGUCCCGGAUGUGCCGGGGGGGAGAAGCCCGAGGUGGUCCCAGGUAGCAGCGAGGCCCGCGCCCGCCCUCCGGCGCGGCCGCUGUGGUGACUCGACAUCCUCAAAGGCUCCUGGCUCUCCGGAGCCUGCUCCUGCCUCCCGCUGAGCCUGCCCCAGGCUCCUUGGAGGAGCCCGCCACCCCCGGGAAUGUGACCGGCCCCUCGGUUUAAUUUUAUUCCCUUCCACUUCUCGCCGGAGCGCCCUGCUGCGCCUCUACCCACCGAGCCUUCCCAGCCGGAGAGGGAGAGGAGGGGAAGCUGCCCCCAGACAGGAUGGCGUGCAGAAGACGCUACUUGAGCUCCCUGGAGACCGGAAGCAGCCUCUCCAGUGACAGAUACAGGUACUGUUGCACCGUCUACUCCUGGCCUGCACCAGUGACCAGGACCAGCCCGAGGUCCCCCCAGUGUCCGGGCUCAGCCCGAGGUCCCCCCGGUGACCAG
rnacentral:lncRNA from 1 species